UUAGUCAGACCAUCACUAGAAUAUGCCUGUUCAGUAUGGGAUCCUUACUUUACUGAGGAUAUAAACAAACUAGAAAAGGUGCAAAAAAGGGCUGCUAGGUUUGUCACUAACCGACACAGAAACACAUCACGCGUUAGUGACAUGAUAGAUCACUUAAAAUGGAGAGACCUCGCACACAGAAGAACAGAUGCACGCCUUGUCAUGUUUUACAAAAUCACAUACCAUCUCAUCGCAAUCACAAAAACAAACAGACUAAUACAACCGCUCAGACAGUCCUGGAUCAUGCACGCACUCUCAUUCCAAAUUCCAUCCUGCAGAACACAAAUAAUUUUUUUGCCAACAAUCUUUUUUUCCAUGAACAAUUAAAAACUAUAGAGUCGUUCAAAACAGCCAUCUCAACCUACACAUACAGUCAGUAAAUUCAUCAUGUGUAAAUAGUUUUAUCAUAAUAUUAAAAAUAAAUAAAAUAAAAAUAUGCACUACCACUAUCUAAAAAUGUUAUUAUCAAUUUUUGUUUAUAAUUAUAAAAAAUGUUAAAUUUUUCACUGUAUAUAAGUCUCCACAAAGCAAUGUGCAGUACAAGUGACAUAAACUUCAACGUGUUAAAGGCGGUCACUACAAAGUAGAAGUAGAAGUAGAAGCAUGACUAAAAACAGUGUGGAAAACUGAUUAAAUGAGUGAAUUUUUCAAGUCCAAGGACCAUAACUCUGCACAAAAUUAUCAGACCGAUACAGAAUUUCGAACUUGAUCUGUAUAACUUGUCAUGAUAAAACUAUAUACCAAUUAUCAAUCAAUAUCUUCAAGCAUGAUGAAAAAAAGUGUGGAAAACACUUUAACAUUAGAUAUGAUUAAUAGUUCUCUAAAAUUAGAUAUGAUGUAAUACAGUGUAUAUCUAUUUUCAAAUUAUAAUCAAAUAUAAUUAAUAGUUCCAAAUAUUUUUUCUUUUAUUUGUCACAAACUAAUAUAGAUUUGUAUGUUAUCUAUAAAAUGUCAACAAUUUUUACCUACACAAUGUAAUGUAAUAUAUACAUUAAUAAAAAUAGAUUAUUAUCUAAUUAAAGGAUUUCACUUCAUAAUUUUUUAUAUAUAUAUAUAGCAUUCAGAAAAUUAGUUUAUACAAAAUAACAAACAAACCUGCCAAAAAAUUCUUCAAAUAAUUUACCAAAGAAUGUCUUUUAAAAAAUGAGUUAUCUCCCUUUGUACAGAAAUAUGGUUUAACAUAGUACUCAAACAUUAGAUAUGAUCCAGAGUUAUGGUCCAUAACUCUGGACUAAAUCAUCAGACCAGAACAAAAUUCGAACUUGAUCUAUAACUUGUCAUGGCAAAACUAUAUACCAAAUAUCAAAUCAAUUUCUUCAAGAACGAAGAAAAAAGUGUGGAAUACUGAUUUGCCGGACUGACGGAUGGACAGACGGACAGAGUGCAAACCUAAAGUCCCCUUCGACUUCGUCGGUAGGGGACUUAUAAAGGCAAAAUCCAGACAACAUUGAUAUCCAUAACUUAAAUCCUAUAAAAAUAAACAGCUGCGCCUAGUCGUCUUGUGUUUGUGAAUUUUUAUGCAAUAAUCAUAAAUAGUUUCUGACAUACGGCCUGACAUGCGGAAACCCCCUUUUUUUACAAAAAACUCAAUAUCUCUAAAACAAAAUUUUGAAUCAAAACCAAAAAAAAUAGAGAUCUUUAGAUGAAUAUAACUAAGAAGUGUGUAAAAUUUUAAGCAAUAAUCAUAAAUCGUUUUUGAGAUACGGCGCGACAUGUGAAAACCCCCCUUUUAAAAAAAAAAAAUCAAUAUCUCAAAAAUAAAAUUUUGAAUCAAAACCAAAAA